rnacentral:rRNA from 1 species
CGGACGGGNGAGUAACGCGUAGAAUCUGCCUUCAGGUCUGGGACAACCACUGGAAACGGUGGCUAAUACCGGAUGUGCCGAGAGGUGAAAGGUUAACUGCCUGAAGAUGAGCUCGCGUCUGAUUAGCUAGUUGGAAGUGUAAUGGACUCCCAAGGCGACGAUCAGUAGCUGGUCUGAGAGGACGAUCAGCCACACUGGGACUGAGACACGGCCCAGACUCCUACGGGAGGCAGCAGUGGGGAAUUUUCCGCAAUGGGCGAAAGCCUGACGGAGCAAUACCGCGCGAGGGAGGAAGGCUCUUGGGUCGUAAACCUCUUUUCUCAGGGAAGAAAAAAAUGACGGUACCUGAGGAAUAAGCAUCGGCUAACUCCGUGCCAGCAGCCGCGGUAAUACGGAGGAUGCAAGCGUUAUCCGGAAUGAUUGGGCGUAAAGCGUCCGCAGGUGGCAAUGUAAGUCUGCUGUUAAAGAGUGAGGCUCAACCUCAUAAGAGCAGUGGCAACUACAUAGCUAGAGUACGUUCGGGGCAGAGGGAAUUCCUGGUGUAGCGGUGAAAUGCGUAGAGAUCAGGAAGAACACCGGUGGCGAAGGCGCUCUGCUAGGCCGUAACUGACACUGAGGGACGAAAGCUAGGGGAGCGAAAGGGAUUANAUACCCCUGUAGUCAA